rnacentral:rRNA from 1 species
UUGAACGCUGGCGGCAGGCCUAACACAUGCAAGUCGAGCGGUAGCACAGAGAGCUUGCUCUCGGGUGACGAGCGGCGGACGGGUGAGUAAUGUCUGGGAAACUGCCUGAUGGAGGGGGAUAACUACUGGAAACGGUAGCUAAUACCGCAUAACGUCGCAAGACCAAAGUGGGGGACCUUCGGGCCUCAUGCCAUCAGAUGUGCCCAGAUGGGAUUAGCUAGUAGGUGGGGUAAUGGCUCACCUAGGCGACGAUCCCUAGCUGGUCUGAGAGGAUGACCAGCCACACUGGAACUGAGACACGGUCCAGACUCCUACGGGAGGCAGCAGUGGGGAAUAUUGCACAAUGGGCGCAAGCCUGAUGCAGCCAUGCCGCGUGUGUGAAGAAGGCCUUCGGGUUGUAAAGCACUUUCAGCGGGGAGGAAGGCGUUAAGGUUAAUAACCUUGGCGAUUGACGUUACCCGCAGAAGAAGCACCGGCUAACUCCGUGCCAGCAGCCGCGGUAAUACGGAGGGUGCAAGCGUUAAUCGGAAUUACUGGGCGUAAAGCGCACGCAGGCGGUCUGUCAAGUCGGAUGUGAAAUCCCCGGGCUCAACCUGGGAACUGCAUUCGAAACUGGCAGGCUAGAGUCUUGUAGAGGGGGGUAGAAUUCCAGGUGUAGCGGUGAAAUGCGUAGAGAUCUGGAGGAAUACCGGUGGCGAAGGCGGCCCCCUGGACAAAGACUGACGCUCAGGUGCGAAAGCGUGGGGAGCAAACAGGAUUAGAUACCCUGGUAGGCCACGCCGUAAACGAUGUCGAUUUGGAGGUUGUGCCCUUGAGGCGUGGCUUCCGGAGCUAACGCGUUAAAUCGACCGCCUGGGGAGUACGGCCGCAAGGUUAAAACUCAAAUGAAUUGACGGGGGCCCGCACAAGCGGUGGAGCAUGUGGUUUAAUUCGAUGCAACGCGAAGAACCUUACCUGGUCUUGACAUCCACAGAACUUAGCAGAGAUGCUUUGGUGCCUUCGGGAACUGUGAGACAGGUGCUGCAUGGCUGUCGUCAGCUCGUGUUGUGAAAUGUUGGGUUAAGUCCCGCAACGAGCGCAACCCUUAUCCUUUGUUGCCAGCGGUUCGGCCGGGAACUCAAAGGAGACUGCCAGUGAUAAACUGGAGGAAGGUGGGGAUGACGUCAAGUCAUCAUGGCCCUUACGACCAGGGCUACACACGUGCUACAAUGGCAUAUACAAAGAGAAGCGACCUCGCGAGAGCAAGCGGACCUCAUAAAGUAUGUCGUAGUCCGGAUUGGAGUCUGCAACUCGACUCCAUGAAGUCGGAAUCGCUAGUAAUCGUAGAUCAGAAUGCUACGGUGAAUACGUUCCCGGGCCUUGUACACACCGCCCGUCACACCAUGGGAGUGGGUUGCAAAAGAAGUAGGUAGCUUAACCUUCGGGAGGGCGCUUACCACUUUGUGAUUCAUGACUGGGGUG